rnacentral:rRNA from 1 species
GACGGAGGAUGCAAGUGUUAUUCGGAAUCACUGGGCGUAAAGCGUCUGUAGGUGGUUUAAUAAGUCAACUGUUAAAUCUUGAGGCUCAACCUCAAAAUCGCAGUCGAAACUAUUAGGCUAGAGUAUAGUAGGGGUAAAGGGAAUUUCCAGUGGAGCGGUGAAAUGCGUAGAGAUCGGAAAGAACACCAACGGCGAAAGCACUCUGCUGGGCCGACACUGACACUGAGAGACGAAAGCUAGGGGAGCGAAUGGG